rnacentral:SRP_RNA from 1 species
UCAGGGGAGGAAGGCAGCAGCAGCGGCG